GGGGAGAUCUUUGCUUACCCCCUUUUUCUCCAGAGGAAGUUGGCAGCUAGCAUCCCAGGACAUAUUACGUUCCUUUGCUCCGAUGUGGCCUGUAAAUAUUUCCCCUAUUUAACCAAGGUGGCUCAGCAGUGCCCUGAGCUGAGGAACCUCUUGUCAAUGCGUCCUUUUCUCUCCGUCAUGCAUGCAAAGGCUCACACUUGGAAAUGCGAGAUCAAAUGGGGAGGUGCGUUUCAGGAUGGGGCCGGUUCAACAGUUGGAGAAGAGGUGGAACAAGUAAACAGUUUCCUGUCUAGGGCGGCCAUCACAACGAAGUACAUGUCUAAAGCAGGGCGAACAGACAUGCUGAGCCUCCUGGCUUUGGGGUGGAACAAAAGGAAAGUGGAACAACUGGGC